rnacentral:rRNA from 1 species
UACAGAGGUCCCAAGCGUUUAGGCGGAAUCACUGGGCUUAAAGCGCGUGUAGGCGGAUCCGUAAGUGCCUUGUGAAAUCCCACGGCUUAACCGUGGAACGGCUGGGCAUACUGCGGGUCUUGAGCCAUCUAGGGGCCUGCGGAACAAGCGGUGGAGCGGUGAAAUGCGUAGAUAUCAGGAGGAACACCGAUGGCGAAGGCAGCUCGCUGGGACGGUACUGACGCUGAGACGCGAAAGCGUGGGUAGCAAACAGG